GACAUGAACCACUGGCUGAGAAACAUCCUGAUUCUGACUCUCUGGCUAGAGUGUAAAGGAGAAGACAGAGUGACCCAGCCAGCAGGAGAUGUCAUUGCUGCUGAAGGAGACACAGUUACACUUGGCUGUACUUUUGAGACGAGUUACACAGGUCCAACUUUGUUCUGGUACAAACAAGAAGUAAAUGAGUCUCCUAAGUACAUGCUGAAAAGUUACUCAAAAACAACAGAUUUUGAUGCAGAGUUCACGAAAGACAGAUUUAAUGCUACAAUCAAGGAUAAGUCAGUUCCUCUGAAGAUCCAGAAGCUUCAGCUGUCUGACUCUGCUGUGUACUACUGUGCUCUGCAGCCCACAGUGACAGGAAACACCAAAACUCUGUUAAUGCGGCAGCUCCAGAGAUGGAAGCACCUAAAUCAGCCCUUGGAAGAGUCUAGAAAGGACGUGACUGCCCCAUUGUGGGAGUGA